rnacentral:rRNA from 1 species
UAAUACGGAGGAUGCAAGCGUUAUCCGGAUUCAUUGGGUUUAAAGGGUGCGUAGGCGGCUCUUUAAGUCAGUGGUGAAAUCCUGCCGCUUAACGGUAGAAUUGCCAUUGAUACUGAAGAGCUUGAGUACAAUUGAGGUAAGCGGAAUGUGUAGUGUAGCGGUGAAAUGCUUAGAUAUUACACAGAACACCAAUUGCGAAGGCAGCUUACUAAACUGUUACUGACGCUGAUGCACGAAAGCGUGGGGAGCGAACAGGAUUAGAUACCCUGGUAGUCCACGCCGUAAACGAUGAUCACUCGCUGUAUGCGAUACACAGUAUGCGGCCAAGCGAAAGCAUUAAGUGAUCCACCUGGGGAGUACGAUCGCAAGGUUGAAACUUAAAUGAAUUGACGG